GAUGAACGCUGGCGGCGUGCCUAAUACAUGCAAGUCGAGCGAACAGAUGAGGAGCUUGCUCCUCUGACGUUAGCGGCGGACGGGUGAGUAACACGUGGAUAACCUACCUAUAAGACUGGGAUAACUUCGGGAAACCGGAGCUAAUACCGGAUAAUAUAUUGAACCGCAUGGUUCAAUAGUGAAAGACGGUUUUGCUGUCACUUAUAGAUGGAUCCGCGCCGCAUUAGCUAGUUGGUAAGGUAACGGCUUACCAAGGCAACGAUGCGUAGCCGACCUGAGAGGGUGAUCGGCCACACUGGAACUGAGACACGGUCCAGACUCCUACGGGAGGCAGCAGUAGGGAAUCUUCCGCAAUGGGCGAAAGCCUUACGGAGCAACGCCGCGUGAGUGAUGAAGGUCUUCGGAUCGUAAAACUCUGUUAUUAGGGAAGAACAAAUGUGUAAGUCACUAUGCACGUCUUGACGGUACCUAAUCAGAAAGCCACGGCUAACUACGUG
rnacentral:rRNA from 1 species